rnacentral:rRNA from 1 species
GCACGUCUAAGUACUCGCCUUGUCUAUUAAAGUGAAACCGCGAAUGGNNCANNAAAUCAGUUAUGGUUCACUAGAUCGUACCUCAUCCUACUCGGAUAACUGUGGUAAUUCUAGAGCUAAUACAUGCAACUAGGCCCUGCCCGGCCGCCUUCACGGGUGGUCGGAAAGGGCGCCAUUAUCAGCCCAAAACCGACCGGGUUGCCCAACAGGGCUCCCGUCCUUAUACCCUUUGACGACUCUGGAUAACCUUCUAGCGGAUCGCCGGUGAACUAGGUCGGCCGGGCGGUGACGUCCGCGUCCGACCUACGGCGACUAGUCUUUCGAAUGUCUGCCUUAUCAACUGUCGACGGUAGGUUAGACGCCUACCGUGGUCGUAACGGGUGACGGGGAAUCAGGGUUCGAUUCCGGAGAGGGAGCCUGAGAAACGGCUACCACAUCCAAGGAAGGCAGCAGGCACGCAAAUUACCCAAUCCCUGCACGGGGAGGUAGUGACGAAAAAUAACGAUACGGGACUCUUAACGAGGCCUCGUAAUCGGAAUGAGUCCGCUCUAAAUCCUUUAACGAGGAUCUAUCGGAGGGCAAGUCUGGUGCCAGCAGCCGCGGUAAUUCCAGCUCCGAUAGCGUAUAUUAAAGUUGCUGCGGUUAAAAAGCUCGUAGUUGGAUUUGGGUUUUCGGGCCGGCGGGCCGCCGCCUUCGAGCGGCGCGUUUCCCGCCGCGCCCCCGGAACCGCACGGUCGCAGAGGCCCCCGCGGUGCUCUUGAGUGAGUGUCCGCGGUCUCGGGUCGCCGAACGUUUACUUUGAAAAAAUUAGAGUGCUCCAGGCAGGCCGGUAAAGCGUUUUUAAACCCGCGCCUGAAUAGUCACGCAUGGAAUAAUGAAAGAGGACCGGUGGUCCUAUUUUGUUGGUUUUCGGGAUUUUCCGCCGUCAUGAUUAAGAGGGACGGCCGGGGGCAUUCGUACCGCGGCGCGAGAGGUGAAAUUCUAGGACCGUCGCGAGACGAACCGUUGCGAAAGCAUUUGCCAAGAAUGUUUUCCUUAAUCAAGAACGAAAGUCAGAGGUUCGAAGGCGAUCAGAUACCGCCCUAGUUCUGACCGUAAACGAUGCCACCUGACGAUCCGCCAGGGUUACUACCAUGACUCGGCGGGCAGCCCCCGGGAAACCCAAGCCUUCGGGUUCCGGGGGAAGUAUGGUUGCAAAGCUGAAACUUAAAGGAAUUGACGGAAGGGCACCACCAGGAGUGGAGCCUGCGGCUUAAUUUGACUCAACACGGGGAACCUCACCCGGCCCGGACACCGCGAGGAUUGACAGAUUGAGAGCUC